rnacentral:rRNA from 1 species
UAAACGACUCUCGGCAACGGAUAUCUCGGCUCUCGCAUCGAUGAAGAACGUAGCGAAAUGCGAUACUUGGUGUGAAUUGCARAAUCCCGUGAACCAUCGAGUCUUUGAACGCAAGUUGCGCCCGAGGCUUUUGGCCGAGGGCACGUCUGCCUGGGCGUCACGC